rnacentral:rRNA from 1 species
UACGUAGGCAGCGAGCGUUGUUCGGAGUUACUGGGCGUAAAGAGUGCGUAGGCGGUUUUCUAAGUUUGGUGUGAAAUCUCCCGGCUUAACUGGGAGGGUGCGCCGAAAACUGGAAGGCUUGAGUAUGGGAGAGGUAAGCGGAAUUCCUGGUGUAGCGGUGAAAUGCGUAGAUAUCAGGAGGAACACCUGCGGUGUAGACGGCUUACUGGACCAUAACUGACGCUGAGGCACGAAAGCGUGGGUAGCAAAC